rnacentral:tRNA from 1 species
GCCUGGGUGCUCAGCCGGUUAAGCGUCUGACUUCAGCUCAGGUCAUGACAGUUUGUGAGUUCAAACCCCGCCUCGGGCU